AGCGUUCCAGGGCGGCGGCGACGACGACGACGACGACGCGCCCUCCCCGCGGGUCGGCGGGUGUUGUAUGCUGCGGUGUGCGGCGGACCGGCGACAACUGGAACGAACCUGUGUUCGGCUCAGCAGCGAUAGCACCUUCAGCCUCUAGCCUGUAGAUUUGUGAAGGGAAGCAUACCAAUGCCUUAAAGGAGAUGAGUGAGCCAUUGAAGAUGCGUGUCUUGAGCCUGUCAUCGGGUAUUGAGGCCUCCACCAUGCACACAAGAGAGACCCAUUGAUUCCUGUUGACUGAGUCACCCACAAACACCAAUCUCUUAUUCCUCAGCUUUUCAAGCAGCUUGAUGGCAUCAAAUCUGUUUUGAAAAGGCCACCUCGGGGAAGAUGAAGGUGCACUUGAGCCCGUUGUACAAUGGCCGGGAGACGUUGUCGUACACCCACCGCCCCCUCGACCAGUUGCACUCCUCAUUGCUGGCGUCCCCCUCGUCAGUUGUCCCUCUGAUCG